GGGGAGACCGGCGUAACGGGUGAGUAAUAUGCGAGGAAGCUGCCAUGUAGAUCGGAAUAACCCUGGUAAACUGUGACUAAUGCCGGAUAAUCUCGAUUGACCACCUGGACAUCUGAGGAAAAGGUCUGCCGCUACUGGAGGGCCUCACGGCCUAUCAGCUAAUUGGUGAGGUAACGGCUCACCAGAGGAACGACCGGUAUGUGGCUGGAAAGCGCGACCAACCCCUCUGGGACUGAGACACGGCCCAUACUCCUACAGGAGGCAACACCGGGUAAUCUUGCGCAAUGGGCGAAAGCCUGACCCUACGACUCCGCGUGUCUUUUGAAGGCCUUCAGGUUGACUGCCGCUUUCAAGAGGGAACAAGCUAAAUUGACGGCACCUCCCGAAGAAGCCCCGGCCAACUACGUGCCAGCAGCCGCGGUAAUACGUAGGGGGCAAGCGUUGUCCGGAAUUAUUGGGCGUAAAGAGCUCGUAGGCGGUCCUUUAAGUCGGGUGUGAAAUCUCGGGGCUCAACCCCGAAACUGCACCCGAUACUGGAGGACUUGAGGCAGGUAGGGGAAGGUGGAAUUCCUGGUGUAGCGGUGAAAUGCGCAGAG
rnacentral:rRNA from 1 species